GAGACUGUGGCAGAGCUCGGUCCAAUGCAACGGAUUGCAAACCCGUAAAGUCGUCAGUUCAAAUCUGACCAGUUUCUCCA
rnacentral:tRNA from 1 species